rnacentral:lncRNA from 1 species
UCAUCUAGCCAAACAUCCAAUUUUAGUUCUGGAGUUCUAGAGUGGAGCUAGCUCCACCUGGAGUUCUGGAGUGGAGCAGCUCUACUCGGAGUUGGAGCUCCACCUGGAGUUCUGGAGUGGAGCAGCUCUACUCGGAGUUGGAGCCAUGCCAAACAGGGCCUAAGAGAUUGGGAGCUGGAAAAAAUAGAUUUUCUGAUUCUGAUUCUCCAUCCUGAUUUUAAGAGUUUAUGCUAGAGAAUCAAAGAGAAUCACUUCCACCC